UUUAACGGCCGCGGUAUUUUGACCGUGCGAAGGUAGCGCAAUCACUUGUCUUUUAAAUGAAGACCUGUAUGAAUGGCACGACGAGGGCUUAACUGUCUCCUUUUUCCAGUCAAUGAAAUUGAUCUUCCCGUGCAGAAGCGGGAAUAAUAUCAUAAGACGAGAAGACCCUGUGGAGCUUUAGACACUAAAUCAGCCCUUGUCCAAGAAUCCCAAUUAAAGGAAUGAACACUAGAGUGAGACCUGAUCUAAUGUCUUCGGUUGGGGCGACCUUGGGGAAAGAAAAAUCCCCCAUGCGGAACGGAAAUACCAUAUUUCUAAAACUAAGAGAGACCACUCAAAGUAUCAAAAAUUUUGACCAACUAUAUGAUCCGGCUUAACGCCGAUCAACGGACCAAGUUACCCCAGGGAUAACAGCGCAAUCCUCUUUUAGAGCCCAUAUCGACAAGAGGGUUUACGACCUCGAUGUUGGAUCAGGACAUCCUAA
rnacentral:rRNA from 1 species